rnacentral:rRNA from 1 species
CCUACGGGUGAUAGCAGUGAGGAAUAUUGGUCAAUGGGCGCUAGCCUGAACCAGCCAAGUAGCGUGAAGGAUGACUGCCCUAUGGGUUGUAAACUUCUUUUAUAUGGGAAUAAAGUGCAGUAUGUAUACUGCUUUGCAUGUACCUUAUGAAUAAGGAUCGGCUAACUCCGUGCCAGCAGCCGCGGUAAUACGGAGGAUCCGAGCGUUAUCCGGAUUUAUUGGGUUUAAAGGGAGCGUAGGCGGGUUGUUAAGUCAGUUGUGAAAGUUUGCGGCUCAACCGUAAAAUUGCAGUUGAUACUGGCAGCCUUGAGUACAGUAGAGGUAGGCGGAAUUCGUGGUGUAGCGGUGAAAUGCUUAGAUAUCACGAAGAACUCCGAUUGCGAAGGCAGCCUGCUGGACUGUAACUGACGCUGAUGCUCGAAAGUGUGGGUAUCAAACAGGAUUAGAUACCCCAGUAGUC